GGCGAGUGACACCCACGCCCGGGUUUACAUUCUCCUGCCUUCUUUUUAAGGGCUGCGGGCACGGUAAACGCCGGUCAGUUGUUUCGAAACCAGCGAAAACCAUCAGAUUUGGUCCCCUCGGGUAGAAUCGCUGCCUUGUGACUGCUGAGGCUAAGAGACUGUCGGAAUAAAGAAUAAAAAUUUUCCAAAGCACCAGAAGGCAAGACAAGAAACAAUGGAUGGAAACUAAUCAAGAAGAGAAGCAACCUGGAAGUAAGAAGAAACUUCCUAACAGUGAGGACAAUUAACAGCUGCCUUCGGAAGUUGUGGGGGCUUCAUCACUGGAGGCAUUUAAGAAGAUACUGGACAGCCACUUGUCUGAAAUUGUAUAGGGUCUCCUGCUUGAGCAGUAGGUUGGACUAGAAGAUCUCAACGGUCCCUCCCAACUCUGUUCUGAUUGAUUGGUCUACUUUUAACAGCCCCAACUCUCUUUGUCCUUCUGGGUUUUGCAGGAGAGAAAAUAGUGAGCCAAGGCCAGGGUCUAUUGGAUUGCAUGGGGUCAAGGGCUCAUGUUAUGAGUGAUACUGUAAUAAUUAAGGCUCUGAUACUUUAAUCAGCAGAGUGGAUCACGUGUUUCCUCAGUGUUUUAAGAAAAUGUUGUGAUGAUAAGCCUUUUGGAGUGCCAUAAGACUUGGUUCUUGCUGUAAUAGAUAAAUGUGGCUGGAACUAGGUAAAAUUUUUGUUUUAGAGCUAAAUCUCAUCAAUGUUAUUUCCCCCAGAGCUAUGUUGAUAGGGAGAGUGGACGGUCCUUGUUCCACAUUGUGGGUGGCGUUUGGCAAUAUGCUUUUAUGGUGUCACUGUUUUCUUCUCUCAAUGGGUUUAAUCUUCCAGCCACAUCACUGACAGGGUGGAUACAGUAAGAGGAUCAUGUACUGUUUUUUGUUAGGCCAGGGAUCUGCAACCUUAAACACUCAAAGAGUCAUUUGGACCCAUUUCCCACAGAAAAGAAAACACUAGGAGCCACAAAA